rnacentral:rRNA from 1 species
GAUGAACGCUGGCGGCGUGCCUAAUACAUGCAAGUCGAGCGAACAGACGAGGAGCUUGCUCCUCUGACGUUAGCGGCGGACGGGUGAGUAACACGUGGAUAACCUACCUAUAAGACUGGGAUAACUUCGGGAAACCGGAGCUAAUACCGGAUAAUAUAUUGAACCGCAUGGUUCAAUAGUGAAAGACGGUUUUGCUGUCACUUAUAGAUGGAUUCGCGCCGCAUUAGCUAGUUGGUAAGGUAACGGCUUACCAAGGCAACGAUGCGUAGCCGACCUGAGAGGGUGAUCGGCCACACUGGAACUGAGACACGGUCCAGACUCCUACGGGAGGCAGCAGUAGGGAAUCUUCCGCAAUGGGCGUAAGCCUGACGGAGCAACGCCGCGUGAGUGAUGAAGGUCUUCGGAUCGUAAAACUCUGUUAUUAGGGAAGAACAAAUGUGUAAGUAACUAUGCACGUCUUGACGGUACCUAAUCAGAAAGCCACGGCUAACUACGUG